rnacentral:rRNA from 1 species
GACGAACGCUGGCGGCGUGCCUAAUACAUGCAAGUCGAACGAACUCUGGUAUUGAUUGGUGCUUGCAUCAUGAUUUACAUUUGAGUGAGUGGCGAACUGGUGAGUAACACGUGGGAAACCUGCCCAGAAGCGGGGGAUAACACCUGGAAACAGGUGCUAAUACCGCAUAACAACUUGGACCGCAUGGUCCGAGUUUGAAAGAUGGCUUCGGCUAUCACUUUUGGAUGGUCCCGCGGCGUAUUAGCUAGAUGGUGGGGUAACGGCUCACCAUGGCAACGAUACGUAGCCGACCUGAGAGGGUAAUCGGCCACAUUGGGACUGAGACACGGCCCAAACUCCUACGGGAGGCAGCAGUAGGGAAUCUUCCACAAUGGACGAAAGUCUGAUGGAGCAACGCCGCGUGAGUGAAGAAGGGUUUCGGCUCGUAAAACUCUGUUGUUAAAGAAGAACAUAUCUGAGAGUAACUGUUCAGGUAUUGACGGUAUUUAACCAGAAAGCCACGGCUAACUACGUGCCAGCAGCCGCGGUAAUACGUAGGUGGCAAGCGUUGUCCGGAUUUAUUGGGCGUAAAGCGAGCGCAGGCGGUUUUUUAAGUCUGAUGUGAAAGCCUUCGGCUCAACCGAAGAAGUGCAUCGGAAACUGGGAAACUUGAGUGCAGAAGAGGACAGUGGAACUCCAUGUGUAGCGGUGAAAUGCGUAGAUAUAUGGAAGAACACCAGUGGCGAAGGCGGCUGUCUGGUCUGUAACUGACGCUGAGGCUCGAAAGUAUGGGUAGCAAACAGGAUUAGAUACCCUGGUAGUCCAUACCGUAAACGAUGAAUGCUAAGUGUUGGAGGGUUUCCGCCCUUCAGUGCUGCAGCUAACGCAUUAAGCAUUCCGCCUGGGGAGUACGGCCGCAAGGCUGAAACUCAAAGGAAUUGACGGGGGCCCGCACAAGCGGUGGAGCAUGUGGUUUAAUUCGAAGCUACGCGAAGAACCUUACCAGGUCUUGACAUACUAUGCAAAUCUAAGAGAUUAGACGUUCCCUUCGGGGACAUGGAUACAGGUGGUGCAUGGUUGUCGUCAGCUCGUGUCGUGAGAUGUUGGGUUAAGUCCCGCAACGAGCGCAACCCUUAUUAUCAGUUGCCAGCAUUAAGUUGGGCACUCUGGUGAGACUGCCGGUGACAAACCGGAGGAAGGUGGGGAUGACGUCAAAUCAUCAUGCCCCUUAUGACCUGGGCUACACACGUGCUACAAUGGAUGGUACAACGAGUUGCGAACUCGCGAGAGUAAGCUAAUCUCUUAAAGCCAUUCUCAGUUCGGAUUGUAGGCUGCAACUCGCCUACAUGAAGUCGGAAUCGCUAGUAAUCGCGGAUCAGCAUGCCGCGGUGAAUACGUUCCCGGGCCUUGUACACACCGCCCGUCACACCAUGAGAGUUUGUAACACCCAAAGUCGGUGGGGUAACCUUUUAGGAACCAGCCGCCUAAGGUGGGACAGAUGAUUAGGGUG